UUUGCAGCGGGAAGAGCUGGACCUGAUGUGUCAUUUACCCACUCAGGGGGUUGGAGCUCGUCCCUGGAAGUGAUCUCCCACGGUCCCACGGUCCCACGGUCCCACGGACACGUUUGUGCACAUGCAUGUGUGAUGCAUGUCCUAGGGGUUCCCCAGGCAUAGAAACCCAGGGACUGAGUGCUCCGUGUGGGGGAGCUACCACGGAGACCUAUGGGGGCAUUCCCGACAUUGGCCCUUGUAGUGACCAUCCAGUAGCGUUGGGGAAAUGAAGCUUGACUAAAACUGACCACGAGAAAGGAAGCAGCUACGUCUGCCCAAUGUGCAUGAUGGGACCCCUUCACCCUGACCCUGCUGGGAGCUGGGAGAACUAGAAGUAGCUGGUGACCUUUGGCUGAGCAGGGUCUGAGGGAGCCAGUGGGGGCACCCGACCCACUUGAGCCCUGCUACGGGGUAUUGAAGGGCUAGAUUAACUUCACUCUGUGGAGCGGCUUCCUCCCUGCGUCAUCCUUGUCCACACAAGUGUAUACAGAAGGCCAAUGGCUUUCAGCUCCGGGCUAAGAAGCUCCAGUUCUGUGGGAGGGGUGUGAGCCACGCUGGCUCUUUGGCUGUCCCUCCAGUUCCCCUUUUUGUUACUGGGGGCUCCCCUUUUCCCCUCCCCCCACCUCCUUCUUCUCCCCAACCUUUCUCUGCCUAAAAAGCCAAACCUCAUAGUUAAUGUAACUUGGAGGGAAUCUCUGGGCAGCACAAAAUGUAGAGGAAACUUGAGGAACAUGUUGGGGGCAGAAAUGGGGAGUGAGGGGCUGGCCAUUUAUGGCUGCUCUGUUCUUCUGGGGGAGGUCCAGCUCAGCCCCAUUUACAUAACUAUUGAUCUGCAUUAAUACUCCAUCAGUUCUUUCUCUGGAAAUGGAUUUUGAUUUUCUUCAUGAAUUUUUUGGAAUUGUUUUGAAUCAUUGUAUUGCUGAGAAUAGCUAAGUUAUUAACAACUAACCACCAUACAGUAUUGCUGUUACUCUGUACAAUAUCCUAGUUCAAUUUUUCCAGGUUUUUUCUGAAACACACUGCUCAUUUCUUACAGCACAGUAAUAUUCCAAUGUAAUCUUAAACUACAACUUGUCCGGUCAUUUCCCCAAUUGAUGGGCAUCACCUUAAUUUCUAGUUCUUUGCCACAAAAACUGCUAUAAAUAGUUUUUGGAUAACUAGGUCCUUUUCCAAUUUUUAAAACUUUUCUUUGGAAUAUAGUCUCAUUUCUGGGUCAAAGGGUAUGCAGUAUUAAAGCAAAGUUCCAAAUUGCUCUCCAGAGUGGUUGCAUCAAUUCACAAUCUCACCGACAGUGAGUACAUUAGUGUCCCACUUUUCCCACAAACCUUCCAACAUUUAUUAUUUUCCUUUCCUGUCAUAUUAGCCAAUCUGAUAGGUGUGAGAUGUUAUCAUUGGCAUUUUUCUGAUCAAUAGUGAUUUAAAAGGUUUUUAUAUGGCUGUAGCUUUCAUCUGAACACUGUUUAUAUCCACUGAUCAUUUAUCAAUUGGGGAAUGACUUAUUUCUUGUAUAUUUGGUUCAAUUCUUUAUAUAAUUGAGAAUGAGGUCUUUAUCAGAGAAAGUUGCUGUAAAAAUUGUUCCCCAGUUUUUUUGUUUUCCUUCUAAUCUUGAUUGCAGUGGUUUUUGUUUGUGCAAACCCUUUUUAAUUUAAUAUAUUCAAAAUUGCUCAUUUUAUAUCUAGCAAUGCUCUCGGUUUCUUGUUUGGUCUUAAAUUCUUCCUUUCUCCAGAGAAUUGAAUAGUUUACCUAUCAGAUCUAUGGAGAAAGGAAGAAUUUAUUUAUUUUGAUGUCAUCUUAAUAUGCUGUAUAAGAUGUUGAUUUAUACUUAAUUUUUGCUAUUGUAUUCCAGUUUUCCCAGCAGUUUUUGGUUAGAUAGUAAGUUUUUGUCCCCAAAUCUGGGGUCUUUGGGUUUAUCAAACACUGUGUCACUAUGGUCAUUUACUACUAUUUCUGGUGUGCCUGAUCUAUUCUUCUGCUCCAACAGUCUACUUUUUAGCCAGUACCAAAAUGUUUUGUUAAUUACUGCUUUAUAAUACAACUUGAGAUCUAGUAGAGCUAGGCCACCUUCUUUCACAUUUGUUUUCAUUAAUUCCCUUGAUAUUUUUGACCUUUUCUUCUUCCAGAUGAAUUUUGUUACUGUUUUUUCUAGCUCUAUAAAAUGAUUUUUGGUAAUGUGGUAUGACAUUGAAUAAGUAAAUUAAUUUAGGUAGAUUGUGAUUUUUAUUAUAUUAAUUUGGCCUACCCAUAAGCAAUUGAUAUUUUCCAGUUGUUUAGACCUGACUUUAUUUGUGUGAAAAAGUAUUUUAUAAUUGUCUUCAUACAGUUCCUGGGUUUGUCUUGGCAGGGAGACUCCUAAAUAUUCUAUAUUGCCUUGGAUGACCAAGUGAAGGGCAGGUGGCUGUGGAGUGCAAGGAGGGCAGGAGCUAGUUGUGGCUGGGCCUGUCCUGCCAGAGGAGAGCCUAGCCUUGUUCUUGGUGCCACUGGGCAGGACCAGAAGCAAGAGGACAGAAUUAGGUUGCUGUCUGGUUUUCCCAAUGAGGGCUGACCCCAAGGGGUGAGCCUGUCCAGGAGAUGAUGAGUUUCCUUUACUGGAGCUCUCCUAGCAGAGACUGGAGGCUUCUCUGUCAGGGAUGUUGCCCAGGGGACUCCUAUUGGGCCAAAGGGUCUCUUAGGAGAUUCUAGGACCCCUUCCCACUCAGGGAUGGGGAUCAACUGCAAGGAGAUGAUCCUUUCAGUCCGGGGAUAGGAGCUUUGACCCAUUUUAUUGCUGCAGUCGUGACAAAGAAGAUGUUGCUUGGGGUCAGGGCAGAGUGGAAGAUACUCUGGCUACUCAAGGCUGGACUCAGUGCCUCAGGGGAUCAGAGCUGCAAGUUCCUCUCCCCCAUCACCUGCACCAGCCCACUCUUGCUAUAGCAGAAAUGCUGACCUGCUUGUUGACAUCUGUAUCCAGACAACAAUGACUCCCAGCCUGGCAGAGGGCCCAGCUGGCAGGGCAGGGGCAGCCCUCAGGAGCCCCUACAGAGAACAUCUGCUAGACCAGCCAUCAGCAGGGUCCUUUCAUUUUAACUGACACAAUGAUGGUUUGAGUGGGAGAUCCUUGGGGGGGAGGGGGCACCACCCAUUGGGUUGCAGUGUUUGGCUCUGACUAGGACCAAGGGCAAAAUGGGCAGAGGCUGAUGUUACUCUUCUCCCAGGGACAGCAGGAGAACAGAGGUCACCUGGAGAGGCAGAAUGAAGGUCUAGGAACAGGGUCAGGAGACUCUUCUCCACCCCUCACUGAACCUCAGGUUCCUCAGCUGUGAAAUGAGGCUGUUGGCCAAAACAACCCUAACAUGGUGUCUAGCUCAGGCAGUCGAAGCUCUGCAUGACAACCUACCCCUUGUGACUCAGUGUUCCCAUCUGUAAAGUGGGAAUAGCUUGUGCCCUGUCUCCCACACUGGUAGGAGACAAUGCUCUCUGGGAGGAUCAGAGAUCUUACCUGUAAAGCUCACUGUGAACUAAAAAGCCACCCUCCUUAUCUACUGGCUACCCAGACUUCUACCUCCUGGAGGCCCUUGCCUCUUCUUGGCCCUUUUCUUCCAACAAAGCCUUGCCAUGGCUGGAGAGAGGGACAAAAGGUAUUCAUUCUUUCAUCAAGGAAUUCAGGGCACGCUCCAUUCUUUUCUUAAACGCUUUGAAAAAAAAAUCCAUAUGUGGAUGCUAACUUUGUCUCUAAAACCUGGGUAGGGGUCUGGAGGAAGUCCUUAGUCGGCCUAGAUCUGUUGUUCACUGCCUGGAUGACCUGUUUUUUCUUCAGUAAAGGAAUUAGAUUGGAUCCCAUGACCCUUCACUUUGACCAGAGGCCCUUUUCGGUCAACAAGGUGCCUGGGGCCUCAGUCAGGGGCUCUGGCUAAGCCACUUUCUCUCUGGGUCUUGGUUUCCUCAUCUGUUACUGGAAGAGUUGGUUCAAAUGGCCUGUGAUGUUUCUUGGGUCAGGACUGACCCCAUGCUCCACUCUGGUGCUGCUGUUUGUUGAAUCAUGGCCUCUUAACUGGAGUGGCAAGUUGGAGACCCUUCUUCUGAUUCUGCCCCUCAGGGGUCUAGCACCCUCCUUUUAGAAGCUGAUGAGGUCAUUGGCACAAGUGACAAGAGGGGCUGUCUUCUCAGCCCCUGGAGGUGCCCCCUCGUCGACAAAGCCAGAGGCCACUCUCUCCAGACAAGGGGCAAAGCUUUUCUGGGCUAGCCCCUGUUGAGCUCUGGAGUGAGAAGAGAAAGGCAGGUCUCCGCUUCAGCCCUUGUUGGCCUGUAAAGUUGCUGCUGGAGCCUGGAGGCAGAUCCAGGUGUGCUGCAUGAGCUCCUGAGGAAGCUAGGCUUGGGCAGGCCUGGCCCCAUGCCCCAAAUCUUCUCAUGUUCCGUCCACCUCAGAAAGUUCUCAUUGAAGUUUCAAGGCAAUGGGGAUCUAAUAAGCACGGGUCCCAGGAAGGGCGUGGCUUGAAAGGAGGGGCCCCAGGUAGGAGGACAGGCCAUGGCUGGGAUCUAGAGAGCUUGACAAAAGAGAAUGGUGGGCCGAGAAAAACCCUCUGCUUACAACACCAAGGAAUCCAGGAUUUGGAGUUGUAAAAAUGAACAUCUUACCGUUCAGUGGGAAGGUCUUGCUCUCACAAUGAAUCCUCUCCUCACACCACUCUCCCACUGAAAAUCUCAGCCUGGUAACCAUGGCUUCAGACAACUACAUUCAUUUAUUGACGUCUUUAUUGGGUACCUUUUUGUGUCGGAUACUUGUGCUGGGUGCUGGAAACAGGAAUGCAAAAAUCCAACUCUUCCUGCCCUCAGCAAAGACUAACAGAUGUCACAGCGUCUCUCCCAAACAUCUGUAGCCGCUCCUCUGAACGUUUUCUGAGUUCCUACCCUACUAUUAGUUAGAGCAUAAUCUUUUUUUUUUUUCAUUUCUAGAUCCCCACUCUCCUUCACCCCACAUAGUCAAUCACUGGCUAAAUCUUGUUUCUGCUUCUAUGGUGGCUCUUAGAUCUCUCUCAUCAGCCUAGUGUAGUCGCGCCUCACGGCUCACCACAUGCCAAUGACCACCUAGUUGUCCACCCUGCCUCCAUGCCAGUCUAUCCUCCAUCCCACUGCCAAAGAGUUUCCCAAAGUUCAGUUCUAGAAAUUCUAUCCCACCCCCAAUUCAAUAAAGUCCAGCUACUCCCUUUGACCUUUAGGAAAUGGCAAACCAUCCCAGUAUCUUUGCCAAGAAAACUUCAAAUGGGGUCUUGAAGAGUAAACACAAUUGAAAAAUGAUUGAACAACAACAAUAAACUUCCAUUUGGCUUUUAAAUAAGGUCCUUCCCAUUUGUCCCGCACCUGCAUUUACAGUCUCCCUCCCCUUUCUUUCUUUUCCCUAAGUCUUUGGUUCAGUCAAACUGAACUGCUCUCUCUCCCUGGGAGCUUACUUCCUCCUCACCUCUGCUUUGUGGAACCUCUUAGGACAGGCACCAAUUUCUAGGCAGAGUUUUUCCUGAUGCCCCCUCAUCCCUAAACCACUUUGGGUUUGUUCUGUAUCUACUGGUCUAAUCUAAUCCCCCUAUCAGGGGAAGGCUCCUAAAAGGCAGGGACACUUUCAUUUUUCCCAUUGUAUUCCAGUGUCUGACAUACAGUAAUACGGGGUUAGUUGGCCUUCCCUCAGAGUUUCCAUUUCAGAAGGUGGGGCCCAAGACAACUUAAGAAAGCUCUGGCUUUGGGAUCUGCAUCAGCAAGACGGAAACCCGAUUUGUAGAGAGAUGGGCAGGCCCUUCGAAUGGAUCCCGGCCUGGAAACUUGGGAGAAAGGGGCACUCGCCACCAGGCCUCCGACAGCAGCUUAAAGUGGGGCUCACCCACGUUCCCCAAGGUGCUUCAGGAGGAACUAGAGAAACUUGGUUCUGCAGCACCACCUGCUGACAAAAGCGGGGAUCGCCAUGAGCUUGGGGGUAAGAGCUAGCAGGGGCCCUUGGUACUGAGGGGGAAACUGAGGCUCAGGGAAAGAAAGGGGCUGCCAGGGCGCAUCAGUCCAUUGGAGCUGGCCGUCUGAGAAGGGCACAAGAAGAUCUGUUUCCGGGGCAAGGGGCUGUCCUGUGGAGGCAGAGGAGAUAAGUCCCCUUGCCUUGAUGGUCCCGGGGUCCCCCAAGGCAGGGCCUGUGAACUUCACUUUUAAGAACACCUGGCUAACUCUGCCUCCCACAUUUGGCUUUCUCCAUAAUUCUGCGCAUUUUAUUUGGGGCCUAUUAAAAACACGAUUCUGAAGAGAGGGCCCCAGGCUUCUCCCAGGGGGCAGCCAGGGUCAAGGGAGUCCAGGGCGGAUGGUGGAGGGGCCCUGCUCUGGUUGGUGCAGAAGCGGGGGACCCUGAUCCCCGUAUGCACAGGGCACCUCUGGCUGUGGGUGGGAGAGGGCGGUACUGAAUAAGCCCUUUACAGGAAGAGUCUGGUCCAGGUAAUACUUGAGAUCGCUCUCUGUAAGGGCUGAACAAGGAGCCUUGGCUCAUCGUCUCCCUAACAAUCUUUGAAAGCCACACCCGGGAUAAACGGAGAAUAAUCCCGAUGGAGAGGGCAUGGGACAGGAACAAGGCACCACAGCCAAGUGCCUUUGCCACGGGUGAUUUCUCUCAUCCACGACCCUGUUACGAUCCAGAUCUUGGUAUUGCCAGUUAAGGUGAAUUGGGAUGUCAAAGUAUGGUCUGUGCAUUAACCCUGGAAGGUACGGAGAGUCACCUGGAGGAAGCUGUUGUUGAUGUGAUACUAGUUAAAGAGUGUAUAAACCCCGGCGCUCAGAUUAACAAACGGAGAUCUCAAAGCACAUCUUCCACUGGCCUGGGAUAUUCAUUCCCACUCUCGGUAUUCCCUGGGGCUGGACUCCACACCUGGCAGAGAAUUUCUGAGUAUCCCCACCUCCUGUUCAAGGGAACAAGGAAAGGGAGGUCAACUCGGGGACCAAUUCACUCACAACCUCCCAGCAGGAAGGGGCAUCGGAAACCACGGAGGCCAACCUAGCUCCCAAAGCAAGGCUGCUUCCAUGGUCCUGAGACGACCAGCUUCCUUUGUUUGUGUCCUUCCAGUGACAGGGAGCUCCCUCUCUCACAGGGAAUCUGUCUCCCCAGAACUUCCCCCAGUUUGACCUCUUGGAGCAGCACAGAAUGAACAUAAUCUCUCUUCCAUAUGUGGCUCUUCAAACAUCUAUAGCUGGAGAGCACAGAGCCAGAGGCUACCAGCACCCUAAGGACACAAGCCUCAGCUGUCGGAAUCCCUUUUUGCAGAAAAAGAAAAUUAGGUACAGGAAGACCAGAGGACUUCCCAGGGCCUUAUGGCCAGUGACAGACAUGUAAAGGACAGGGCUCAAGACCAUCCUGGAGGGUGACGACACUCCCAGGCCAGCCUCAACCACUCUCUGGCUGUAGCUGUUCAAGCAAGGCCAUAUCUGAGACUUCUUAGACUUUCUCCUGAACGCCCCCCCCCCCCCCCCGCCCCGGUCCUACGAAACCAACUGAAGCGAUUUGAGAGGAUUUGGUGGGAGGGGCUUCGUCGACAGCUCACCUCGCCUUCCACCUGAGGGGUUUAUUCAACAUCUAAGGUCAAUUGGACAGACUGAGCUUUGGGAAAAAAGCUUUCAAAAAGAUGAUGGAGCUCCUACUUGGUCAAAGCUGGUGGUGAGAACACAGAGGUAAUAGGGAGACGUCCUAACCCCUUAAAAGGCAGUAUACUUGUUCCAGCCUGUUUGGGGCGCCAUCUGGUCCUCCCAAUCCCCAAACUUCCUACCUUUCUAGCACAGAUCCUGUCAGUUAUGGUUGGGGCUAAAGGGACACACAGGUUGAUCUUGGUGGCCCCUACUUCGGCUCCAAUACUUGGAUCCCCAUCCUACAGUGUUCUCCCUCUCCUCUAGGAUAUGCUACUCUCGUGCUGUCCCUCAUUCUGUCCUUCCUGAACGUCCCUCGCGACAGGCUGAACUUGCUUGUUGCUAAGCUCUCUGGUCUUUGCAAUGAAUGAUCAUAGCAAGAUUUAGGAUCCUGGAGACCCUCUAUUCCGAACCCCUCAUGGUGUAAAAGAAAAAUGAGGUCCAGAGAGACUCAUGUGGCAAGAGGCAGAACCCGAAUCCCAGCCCGAGUCCAAGACCUCCUUCCCAGCCCUUUACCCUGCGGCACAUCUCCUGGGGCUCAGCUUAAAGGAGGAAGGGAGAAAGGGCUUUCUUCCUCUCUCCCAGGUGUGAGAACCUUUUUGGAGCUAAUGACUGCUCUUUGAUUAGUUAAAACCCCACUAAUUGUAGAAGGUUUAACAAAUGCUUGUUUAAUUGGGUGAGAGUCCAAUUGGGUGAGGACCAAGCUUGGAUUGACAGUCUGGGGAGGGCCACUAAAUUGCUAAAGACCCUGGCAGUGGUGGGAGUAUUCCUUCUUUGGGAUGGAUCCUUGACGGCAGCAUUUUUAAAAC
rnacentral:lncRNA from 1 species